UACGGAGGGAGCUAGCGUUGUUCGGAAUUACUGGGCGUAAAGCGCACGUAGGCGGCUUUGUAAGUUAGAGGUGAAAGCCCGGGGCUCAACCCCGGAAUUGCCUUUAAGACUGCAUCGCUUGAAUCCAGGAGAGGUGAGUGGAAUUCCGAGUGUAGAGGUGAAAUUCGUAGAUAUUCGGAAGAACACCAGUGGCGAGGGCGGCUCACUGGACUGGUAUUGACGCUGAGGUGCGAAAGCGUGGGGAGCAAACAGG
rnacentral:rRNA from 1 species